CGGGGGGGCAAGCGUUGUUCGGAAUUACUGGGCGUAAAGGGCUCGUAGGCGGCCAACUAAGUCAGACGUGAAAUCCCCAGGCUCAACCUGGGAACUGCGUCUGAUACUGGAUGGCUUGAAUUCGGGAGAGGGAUGCAGAAUUCCAGGUGUAGCGGUGAAAUGCGUAGAUAUCUGGAGGAAUACCGGUGGCGAAGGCGGCAUCCUGGACCGACAUUGACGCUGAGGAGCGAAAGCUAGGGGAGCAAACGGGAUUAGAUACCCCGGUAGUCCUAGCCCUAAACGAUGAAUGCUUGGUGUAACGGGUAUCGAUCCCUGUUGUGCCGAAGCUAACGCAUUAAGCAUUCCGCCUGGGGAGUACGGUCGCAAGGCUG
rnacentral:rRNA from 1 species